UAUUAGGUUGGUGCAAAAGUAAUUGCGGUUUUGGCCAUUACUUUCAAUGGCAAAAACCGCAAUUACUUUUGCACCAACCUAAUAC
ensembl:miRNA